rfam:Bacillus hemicellulosilyticus JCM 9152 DNA, contig:contig_9.
CUAGGCAAGAAGAAGCGCCCGCUUCUCACCUGAUCGACAAACGGUUGGCAGGUAUGAACGUUUCAUGUUAGAUGGACAAAGUGGGGGCGUAGUAUGCCCUCGCUUUUUUAUUUUG